rnacentral:tRNA from 1 species
CCCCUGAUAGCUCAGUUGGUAAAGAAUCUGCCUGCAAUGCAGGAGACCCUGGUUCGAUUCCUGGGUGGGGAA